rnacentral:rRNA from 1 species
CAGAGGUCCCAAGCGUUGUUCGGAUUCACUGGGCGUAAAGGGUGCGUAGGUGGUCGGGUAAGUCUGAUGUGAAAUCUCGCAGCUCAACUGCGAAACUGCAUUGGAUACUAUCCGGCUAGAGGAGUGAGGGGGGACUGGAAUGCUCGGUGUAGCAGUGAAAUGCGUAGAUAUCGAGCGGAACACCAGUGGCGAAGGCGAGUCCCUGGACACUUCCUGACACUGAGGCACGAAAGCUAGGGGAGCAAACAGGAUUAGAUACCCUGGUAGUCCUAGCUGUAAACGGUGCUUAUUUGCUGUAAAAGGAAUCGACCCCUUUUGUGGCGUAGCUAACGCGUUAAAUAAGCCGCCUGGGAAGUACGGUCGCAAGAUUA